AUUGAACGCUGGCGGCAUGCCUUACACAUGCAAGUCGAACGGUAACGGGCCUUCGGGUGCCGACGAGUGGCGAACGGGUGAGUAAUGUAUCGGAACGUACCUUUCAGUGGGGGAUAACGUAGCGAAAGUUACGCUAAUACCGCAUAUUCUGUGAGCAGGAAAGCAGGGGAUCGCAAGACCUUGCGCUGAUUGAGCGGCCGAUAUCAGAUUAGCUAGUUGGUGAGGUAAAGGCUCACCAAGGCGACGAUCUGUAGCGGGUCUAAGAGGAUGAUCCGCAACACUGGAACUGAGACACGGUCCAGACUCCUACGGGAGGCAGCAGUGGGGAAUUUUGGACAAUGGGGGCAACCCCGAUCCAGCCAUGCCGCGUGAGUGAAGAAGGCCUUCGGGUUGUAAAGCUCUUUCGGCCGGGAAGAAAUCGUAUGGGUUAAUACCCUGUGCGGAUGACGGUACCGGCAUAAGAAGCACCGGCUAACUACGUGCCAGCCGCCGCCGUAA
rnacentral:rRNA from 1 species